rnacentral:rRNA from 1 species
UCCAGACUCCUACGGGAGGCAGCAGUGGGGGAUAUUGCACAAUGGGGGGAACCCUGAUGCAGCAACGCCGCGUGAAGGAAGAAGGGUUUCGGCUCGUAAACUUCUAUCAACAGGGACGAAAGAAAUGACGGUACCUGAAUAAGAAGCCCCGGCUAACUACGAGCCAGCAGCCGCGGGAAUACGUAGGGGGCAAGCGUUAUCCGGAAUUACUGGGUGUAAAGGGUGAGUAGGCGGCAUGGUAAGCCAGAUGUGAAAGCCUUGGGCUUAACCCGAGGAUUGCAUUUGGAACUAUCAAGCUAGAGUACAGGAGAGGAAAGCGGAAUUCCUAGUGUAGCGGUGAAAUGCGUAGAUAUUAGGAAGAACACCAGUGGCGAAGGCGGCUUUCUGGACUGAAACUGACGUUGAGGCUCGAAAGCGUGGGGAGCAAACAGGAUUAGAUACCCUGGUA